rnacentral:rRNA from 1 species
UUGACCUCGGAUCAGGUAGGGAUACCCGCUGAACUUAAGCAUAUCAAUAAGCGGAGGAAAAGAAACCAACAGGGAUUGCCCUAGUAACGGCGAGUGAAGCGGCAACAGCUCAAAUUUGAAAUCUGGCUCUUUCAGAGUCCGAGUUGUAAUUUGCAGAGGGCGCUUUGGCUUUGGCAGCGGUCCAAGUUCCUUGGAACAGGACGUCACAGAGGGUGAGAAUCCCGUACGUGGUCGCUAGCUAUUGCCGUGUAAAGCCCCUUCGACGAGUCGAGUUGUUUGGGAAUGCAGCUCUAAAUGGGAGGUAAAUUUCUUCUAAAGCUAAAUAUUGGCCAGAGACCGAUAGCGCACAAGUAGAGUGAUCGAAAGAUGAAAAGCACUUUGGAAAGAGAGUCAAACAGCACGUGAAAUUGUUGAAAGGGAAGCGCUUGCAGCCAGACUUGCUUGCAGUUGCUCAUCCGGGCUUUUGCCCGGUGCACUCUUCUGUAGGCAGGCCAGCAUCAGUUUGGGCGGUGGGAUAAAGGUCUCUGUCACGUACCUUCCUUCGGGUUGGCCUUAUAGGGGAGACGCCAUACCACCAGCCUGGACUGAGGUCCGCGCA